rnacentral:rRNA from 1 species
GAUGAACGCUGGCUACAGGCUUAACACAUGCAAGUCGAGGGGAAACGACGGGGAAGCUUGCUUCCCCGGGCGUCGACCGGCGCACGGGUGAGUAACGCGUAUCCAACCUGCCUCUGACUGAGGGAUAACCCGUCGAAAGUCGGCCUAAUACCUCAUGGUAUCGUCUGCGGGCAUCCAACGACGAUUAAAGAUUUCAUCGGUCGGGGAUGGGGAUGCGUCUGAUUAGCUUGUUGGCGGGGUAACGGCCCACCAAGGCUACGAUCAGUAGGGGUUCUGAGAGGAAGGUCCCCCACAUUGGAACUGAGACACGGUCCAAACUCCUACGGGAGGCAGCAGUGAGGAAUAUUGGUCAAUGGGCGAGAGCCUGAACCAGCCAAGUAGCGUGCAGGAAGACGGCCCUAUGGGUUGUAAACUGCUUUUAUGCGGGGAUAAAGUGAGGGACGGGUCCCUCAUUGCAGGUACCGCAUGAAUAAGGACCGGCUAAUUCCGUG